CAUGUGGUUUAAUUCGAAGCAACGCGAAGAACCUUACCAGGCCUUGACAUGCAGAGAACUUUCCAGAGAUGGAUUGUGCCUUCGGGAACUCUGACACAGGUGCUGCAUGGCUGUCGUCAGCUCGUGUCGUGAGAUGUUGGGUUAAGUCCCGUAACGAGCGCAACCCUUGUCCUUAGUUACCAGCACGUUAUGGUGGGCACUCUAAGGAGACUGCCGGUGACAAACCGGAGGAAGGUGGGGAUGAUGUCAAGUCAUCAUGGCCCUUACGGCCUGGGCUACACACGUGCUACAAUGGUCGGUACAAAGGGUUGCCAAGCCGCGAGGUGGAGCUAAUCCCAUAAAACCGAUCGUAGUCCGGAUCGCAGUCUGCAACUCGACUGCGUGAAGUCGGAAUCGCUAGUAAUCGUGAAUCAGAAUGUCACGGUGAAUACGUUCCCGGGCCUU
rnacentral:rRNA from 1 species